rnacentral:rRNA from 1 species
AUGUUCGUCCAGAAGAUGCCGACGUCCGCGGGGUGCGGCUCCAAGAGGAAGGCGGAGGAGGACGGCGACGAGGUCACCGUCAAGGCCAUGGCGGUGGAGGAGGAGGAGGCGCCGGUCACCCUCAAAGCCAAGGCGAUGGAGGAUGAGGAGGCAGCUUUCACCACCGUUAAGGCCAUGGCGGAGGAGGAGGCGCCGGUCACCUUCAAGGCCAAGGAGGCGGUGCAGGUCAAGUUGGUGCUGACGAAGCCGACGUGGGUGGAUGUGGAGUACUCGGACUGCGACUCGGACGAAGAGGUCGACUCGGACGACGACGACGCCGAGACGUUCCUGGCCAGGAUCAGGUCUGAGUACAAUGCCCACGCCGAGAAGUUCAAGGCUGACAAUCCCUGUUGA